UCCUACGGGAGGCAGCAGUGGGGAAUAUUGGACAAUGGGGGCAACCCUGAUCCAGCCAUGCCGCGUGUGUGAAGAAGGCCUUUUGGUUGUAAAGCACUUUAAGCAGUGAAGAAGACUCCAUGGUUAAUACCCAUGGACGAUGACAUUAGCUGCAGAAUAAGCACCGGCUAACUCUGUGCCAGCAGCCGCGGUAAU
rnacentral:rRNA from 1 species